GACUGCAGGCUUCCUUUCCUCCACUCUUCUCAGCCCUCUCCAACCCAGAUCCACUCCUCCUCUGUUUACUUUCAGAAAAGAGUAGGCCUUUCAGGGAUAUCAACUGAACUUGAUGUUACAACUUACAAUAAAACUAGGCACAAACCUUCAUAUUAAGACUGGAUGAGGCAACACACAGGAGGAAAAGGGUCCCAAGAACAGGCAAAAGAGUUAGGGAUAGUCCCCAUUCCCACUAUUAGGAGUCCCACAAGAACACCAAGCUACACAAUCAUAACAGACAUGCAGAGAACCUAGCUCAGACCCAGACAGCACCUGUGAUUAUCACUUCAGCCUCUGUGAGGCCCCAUGAGCUCUGCUUAGUUAAUUCUGCAGGGCCAUGUUUUGCUGGCAUCCUUGAUCCCUCUAACUUGUACAAUCUUUCUUCUUCUUCAGGGUUCACUGAGCUCCACCCAAUGUUUGGUUGUGAGUCUCUGUAUCUGCUCCCAUCAGUUACUGGAUGAAGCCUCUCUGGUGAUGAUUGGGCUGGGUACCAGUAUAUUUCAUUGCCAUCCCCCCUUUGAUAGCCAGUUGUGUUUUGUUCUAUUCUAGGACUCUUAUCUAACCUCUGGUUUAUAAUCAUCCAGGGAGUGUCUGAUAUGGGCUCCCUCUGUGACAUGGGCCUCAAGUUAGACCAGUCCAUUGGUUGGUCACUUCCACAAGCUCUGAGCCACCAUUACCCCAGCACAUCUUGCAGACAGGACAAAAUGUAGGCACAGCACCUUCUGCUCCCAGGCUGGAAUCCCACACCCCAGUUUUCAGAGUUGUGGACUUACUCCUACUGCAUUAACAAAGGCCAUCUCUCUUGUCCUCAAGAAACUGCUCAGAUAGCCAGGCCCAGAAGUGACCAAUAGCUCCACUUUAUCCCAAGGAUUAUGAGGACAUCACUAAGCGAGCAGGCUGCCGCCAUGGAAGCCGAACACAGAAAAGUAUGCACAGCAAUGAUCAGCUGUUCAUGAGGAAUGUCUGCGAGAAGUGGGAGUAAAGGACGCAGUUGUUCUGACCCUGAGUAGGUCCAGAUCUUGUGGGUCAGGACCAGAUUAUCUUACGACCAAGGGAUAACUUGCCAGAACACCCAGUGCCGGUGCUGUUGGAUGCCCUUGGAUUUCCCUAUGUGGGUUAUUUUCUGAGGCCAGACCAAUCUUUCUCAGAGCCGCAGCCAAAGGCUCGGUAGCUCAAGAGUUACACAGAUUCUCAUGGUCUGUGCGAAGAUGCCCAACGUCUUUAGCUCUGAUGAUGUCAGGCUUUCAAUGACCCACACAGUUUCUAUCCUUUUCUCCUAUUGAAGUCUAACCACAGACUUCCCCACUGUUAUGACUCAUGGUUAGCCUUUCAUUCUACAGUGGUCCAUCUGCCAAUGUCCACUGUGCUGUGGUUUGGUAUGGAAUGUCCCUCAAAGGCUCAUAUGUUGAAGGUUUAAUCUCUAGCUGGUGGUGUUAUUGACUGUGAUCCAUUGAUUUUUUUUUAAAUGCUUUUGUAAUUAGCUCUUUGAGAAUUUUGUACAAUGUUGUAAGUCAUAUUUAUCAUUUCCUCAAUACCUAGCCCUGUCCUCAAUACCUCUCAGACCCAGCCCUGUUUCUUCAAUAAGAGACAAGUCCAUAAUUCUGGAAACUUUGGGAUGUGGAAUUCCAGCCUGGUUACAAGAGGUUCGAUGCCUACAGUGAACUAGAGACAAAUACCCCACAGUGUGUACGUUCUUAACCACUCAGCUUUGUCCUCUCUCUCUCUCUCUCUCUCUCUCUCUCUCUCUCCCUUCC